UAGCUGAUUGGAGAGCUAGCUUCCGCAGCUAGUCGGUCCACGACGAUGACUUCAGUUUUGUUUGAUCAACCGUUUUACUGCCGUGUGACAGACACCGUUUGGAAACAAUUAAGGUCACACACCGUAACUGGCUCCAUGCGGUUGCAGUUCAUGUUGUGCCAGAUCUCAGAACAGCAGGGUGCCCCAGAGAGUCGAGGCCAUAUCCCUGCUGCCCGUCAACCUCUGCCCGAGCUAUGGGCAAAUAGUUAAGACCUCAACGCUGGCCCAGGCGAGAAAUGAGCAGCAGUAAGACGCACCACAAUGGCUGGGAAGAUGGAGGAAGGCUACAUCAAAGAUGGGCCAUCAAUCAUCUUGGUCUCCAUGCCAAGGUACCUUGGCCCGUUUGAUGCCAAAGACUGUGUGUAAGCUGACCUUGCAUCAACGUUAAAAGAUUCUACGCACUCCCCAGUGGACAAUGAAUACAGGGAAUACGGGAUUGUUAUUGUGCACCGAAGGACCCUUUCACCACUUCGGCCAACUGGGGUUUGUCACAGCGGGGUCGCAUGUUAUCGCGCGGAUCGUUUUCCCAGGAUGCAGACGGAACUCCGGAGGCAAAGUGCAGGUAAGACAAUUGAUUUAUUUACCAUAAAUCAGUCAAAAUCCCAAAAUACAG